rnacentral:rRNA from 1 species
CUUGCUUCUCUUGAGAGCGGCGGACGGGUGAGUAAUGCCUAGGAAUCUGCCUGGUAGUGGGGGAUAACGUUCGGAAACGGACGCUAAUACCGCAUACGUCCUACGGGAGAAAGCAGGGGACCUUCGGGCCUUGCGCUAUCAGAUGAGCCUAGGUCGGAUUAGCUAGUUGGUGGGGUAAUGGCUCACCAAGGCGACGAUCCGUAACUGGUCUGAGAGGAUGAUCAGUCACACUGGAACUGAGACACGGUCCAGACUCCUACGGGAGGCAGCAGUGGGGAAUAUUGGACAAUGGGCGAAAGCCUGAUCCAGCCAUGCCGCGUGUGUGAAGAAGGUCUUCGGAUUGUAAAGCACUUUAAGUUGGGAGGAAGGGUUGUAGAUUAAUACUCUGCAAUUUUGACGUUACCGACAGAAUAAGCACCGGCUAACUCUGUGCCAGCAGCCGCGGUAAUACAGAGGGUGCAAGCGUUAAUCGGAAUUACUGGGCGUAAAGCGCGCGUAGGUGGUUUGUUAAGUUGGAUGUGAAAUCCCCGGGCUCAACCUGGGAACUGCAUUCAAAACUGACUGACUAGAGUAUGGUAGAGGGUGGUGGAAUUUCCUGUGUAGCGGUGAAAUGCGUAGAUAUAGGAAGGAACACCAGUGGCGAAGGCGACCACCUGGACUAAUACUGACACUGAGGUGCGAAAGCGUGGGGAGCAACAAGAUUAAUACCCCUGGUAGUCCACGCCGUAAACAAUGUCAACUAACCGGUGGAGGCCUUGAGCUUU